AGAGUUUGAUCCUGGCUCAGGACGAACGCUGGCGGCGUGCUUAACACAUGCAAGUCGCGGGGGCGGAGCAAUCCGCCACCGGCGGACGGGUGCGUAACACGUGAGCGACCUGCCGAGGUGCGGGGGAUAGCCGGCCCAACGGCCGGGUAAUACCGCAUGCGCUCUCUCCGGGGCAUCCCGGUGAGAGGAAACCCGUCCUCACGGGCGGGGCACCCCGAGGGGCUCGCGGCCUAUCAGCUCGUUGGCGGUGUAACGGACCACCAAGGCGACGACGGGUAGCUGGUCUGAGAGGAUGGCCAGCCACAUUGGGACUGAGAGACGGCCCAGACUCCUACGGGAGGCAGCAGUGGAGAAUCUUGCGCAAUGGCCGAAAGGCUGACGCAGCGACGCCGCGUGUGGGAGGACGCCCUUCGGGGUGUAAACCACUGUCGCUCGGGACGAACAUCCUGUUUCGGCAGGACUGACGGUACCGGGCGAGGAAGCGCCGGCUAACUCCGUGCCAGCAGCCGCGGUAAUACGGAGGGCGCGAGCGUUGUCCGGAAUCACUGGGCGUAAAGGGCGCGUAGGCGGCCCGGCAAGGCUCGCGUGAAAGCCCGGGGCUCAACCCCGGGUCGGCGCGAUCGACUGCCGGGCUCGGAGCACGGUAGGGGCAGGCGGAAUUCCGGGUGUAGCGGUGGAAUGCGUAGAGAUCCGGAAGAACACCGGUGGCGAAGGCGGCCUGCUGGGCCGGGAGACCUUUCAUUAGGUCGUGCUGACGCUGAGGCGCGACAGCGUGGGGAGCAAACAGGAUUAGAUACCCCGGUAGUCC
rnacentral:rRNA from 1 species